rnacentral:rRNA from 1 species
CAGUCGCCACGGGAAUACGAAGGGUGCAAGCGUUACUCGGAAUUACUGGGCGUAAAGCGUGCGUAGGCGGUUUGUUAAGUCUGUUGUGAAAUCCCCGGGCUCAACCUGGGAAUGGCAAUGGAUACUGGCAAGCUAGAGUGUGUCAGAGGAUGGUGGAAUUCCCGGUGUAGCGGUGAAAUGCGUAGAGAUCGGGAGGAACAUCAGUGGCGAAGGCGGCCAUCUGGGACAACACUGACGCUGAGGCACGAAAGCGUGGGGAGCAAACAGGAUUAGAUACCCCAGUAGUCCCUGUCUCUUAUAC